rnacentral:rRNA from 1 species
CUCCUACUGGAGGCAGCAGUGAGGAAUAUUGGUCAAUGGACGAGAGUCUGAACCAGCCAAGUAGCGUGCAGGAUGACGGCCCUAUGGGUUGUAAACUGCUUUUAUAAGGGAAUAAAGUGAGUCUCGUGAGACUUUUUGCAUGUACCUUAUGAAUAAGCAUCGGCUAACUCCGUGCCAGCAGCCGCGGUAAUACGGAGGAUGCGAGCGUUAUCCGGAUUUAUUGGGUUUAAAGGGAGCGCAGACGGGUCGUUAAGUCAGCUGUGAAAGUUUGGGGCUCAACCUUAAAAUUGCAGUUGAUACUGGCGUCCUUGAGUGCGGUUGAGGUGUGCGGAAUUCGUGGUGUAGCGGUGAAAUGCUUAGAUAUCACGAAGAACUCCGAUUGCGAAGGCAGCACACUAAUCCGUAACUGACGUUCAUGCUCGAAAGUGUGGGUAUCAAACAGGAUUAGAUACCCUGGUAGUCCACACGGUAAACGAUGGAUACUCGCUGUUGGCGAUAUACUGUCAGCGGCUUAGCGAAAGCGUUAAGUAUCCCACCUGGGGAGUACGCCGGCAACGGUGAAACUCAAAGGAAUUGACGGGGGCCCGCACAAGCGGAGGAACAUGUGGUUUAAUUCGAUGAUACGCGAGGAACCUUACCCGGGCUUAAAUUGCAAAGGAAUAAUCUGGAAACAGAUUAGUCUUCGGACCUUUGUGAAGGUGCUGCAUGGUUGUCGUCAGCUCGUGCCGUGAGGUGUCGGCUUAAGUGCCAUACCGAGCGCAACCCUCGCCGCCAGUUACUAGCAGGUAAUGCUGAGGACUCUGGCGGGACUGCCAUCGUAAGAUGUGAGGAAGGUGGGGAUGACGUCAAAUCAGCACGGCCCUUACGUCCGGGGCUACACACGUGUUACAAUGGGCGGUACAGAAGGCAGCUACCUGGCGACAGGAUGCCAAUCCCUAAAGCCGCUCUCAGUUCGGACUGGAGUCUGCAACCCGACUCCACGAAGCUGGAUUCGCUAGUAAUCGCGCAUCAGCCACGGCGCGGUGAAUACGUUCCCGGGCCUUGUACACACCGC